rnacentral:rRNA from 1 species
UACGUAGGGGGCAAGCGUUGUCCGGAAUCAUUGGGCGUAAAGCGCGUGUAGGCGGCUCGGUAAGUCUGCUGUGAAAGUCCAGGGCUCAACCCUGGGAUGCCGGUGGAUACUGUCGAGCUCGAGUCCGGAAGAGGCGAGUGGAAUUCCUGGUGUAGCGGUGAAAUGCGCAGAUAUCAGGAGGAACACCGGUGGCGAAGGCGCCACUCUGGGCCGAAACUGACGCUGAGGAGCGAAAGCGUGGGUAGCAAACAGG